UACGUAGGUGGCAAGCGUUGUCCGGAUUUACUGGGCGUAAAGGGAGCGUAGGCGGAUUUUUAAGUGAGAUGUGAAAUACCCGGGCUUAACUUGGGUGCUGCAUUUCAAACUGGAAGUCUAGAGUGCAGGAGAGGAGAAGGGAAUUCCUAGUGUAGCGGUGAAAUGCGUAGAGAUUAGGAAGAACACCAGUGGCGAAGGCGCUUCUCUGGACUGUAACUGACGCUGAGGCUCGAAAGCGUUGGGAGCAAACAGGAUUAGAUACCCCCGUAGUCCCU
rnacentral:rRNA from 1 species